ensembl:lncRNA
UGGCCUUGAAUUAAUGAAUAAUUGAUGGUUAAUGAAGUUGUUGAUCAUUUGACUUAUUUGGUUAAGUACAGAAAAGUUACCAUGCAAAACUUAAUUAAUUAAUUUAUUUAUCUUCAGUAAGAGCUUUGACCAGGUCAGAGUCACAGUGGAUCUGAAGACUAUCCCGGGAUCACUGGACGCAAGGUGGGAAAACACCCUGAAUGGGACUCCAGCCCAUCACAGAAUGCACACACACAUUUAAGUCAAAGAACAAGAUGAACAAGGUGAUACACGAUGAUACAAGGAACAAGAUGAUACAUCAAUGCCAGAGAUGGUAACAACAACACAUGCCAGAAGAACCCCCUGAAGCCAGUUGUCCCAACCCUGACACAUAACAAUGGCCUGACCUGUGACCACAUGAUGAAGUCGCAGACUUGUUUGGAUCUUUCACCCAGAUAGUGUCCCAGGAUCCAGUCCUCCAAACAUAGUCCAACUGUCUUCCCAACUUAUGCUUUAGAACUCAUUAAAGUCUUAGGCUAACAGAUAACGCUGUUGAAUUCUCAACUCUGAUUGGUC